UACGUAGGGGGCAAGCGUUGUCCGGAUUUAUUGGGCGUAAAGAGCGUGUAGGCGGCCAGGUAGGUCAGCUGUGAAAACUCAAGGCUCAACCUCGAGACGCCGGUUGAAACCAUCUGGCUAGAGUCCGGAAGAGGAGAGUGGAAUUCCCGGUGUAGCGGUGAAAUGCGCAGAUAUCGGGAAGAACACCCGUGGCGAAGGCGGCUCUCUGGGACGGUACUGACGCUGAGACGCGAAAGCGUGGGGAGCGAACAGG
rnacentral:rRNA from 1 species